rnacentral:rRNA from 1 species
AGGGAUCAUUACAGAGUUUACCAAACUCCCAAACCCCAUGUGAACAUACCUUACGUUGCCUCGGCAGGCCGCGCCCUACCCCGUAGGCACCUACCCUGUAGGCGCCUACCCGGCGGGUGCGGGCUACCCUGCCGGCGGCCCACCCAACUCUGUUUUUACCACUGUAUCUCUGAAUAUAUAACUAAAUCAGUUAAAACUUUCAACAACGGAUCUCUUGGUUCUGGCAUCGAUGAAGAACGCAGCGAAAUGCGAUAAGUAAUGUGAAUUGCAGAAUUCAGUGAAUCAUCGAAUCUUUGAACGCACAUUGCGCCCAUUAGUAUUCUAGUGGGCAUGCCUGUUCGAGCGUCAUUUCAACCCUUAAGCCCCUGUUGCUUAGUGUUGGGAGCCUACGGUCUCGCGCCGUAGCUCCUCAAAGUUAGUGGCGGGGUCGGUUCGCACUCUAGACGUAGUAGAUUUUAUUUUCAUCUCGCCUGUAGUGUGUGCCGGUCCUCUGCCGUAAAACACCCCAAUUUACCAAAGGUUGACCUCGGAUCAGGUAGGAAUACCCGCUGAACUUAA